CAUUAAGAAGCUAUGUACCCCAGCAUUAGCCUUUUAAGCUAAAGACAGAGGGACCCUCCCCUCCUUAAUGA
rnacentral:tRNA from 1 species